CCUGUCACUGCCAGGAAUGUCACCAUGAGAGCAGUUUCAGUUAAUGAGCAAACUCCUCAGACAAGGCAGGAAGGCAGCUCUUGGGCCUCACUGUCAAGCACAGGAAGCGACUGGAUUCCACUUGCCCGGUGUAGGGAUGACAGCAGGUCAGCUCCUCUCCAAUUACCCAGAAUGGGUGAGAGUUGAAGAUCUAGAAACAGAUUGCUGAGGCAGGAGAACAAAUGGUGACCCCUGCGCCUGCCCACGUUCCUGGAGGAAAACAGGAGCCAGUAGAGAGUGAGCUGACUCGGUGUGACUCCCUUAACAUUGACACAAAAGAGAAAGUAAGUCAAUCCACUACCCCGGUGCAUUGCUGGAACCAGCUAUUGUGUUAUGGUCCUAGACAACUUCCUGUCUUCCUGAGCCCUGCCUCAGUCU
rnacentral:lncRNA from 1 species